rnacentral:lncRNA from 1 species
UGGGCGUGGAAUGUCUGUCCUGUUAGAGCGUCCCCUGGCACCUCUCCAAGAAUCUAGGGUAUUCCCACAAAGGAAUUCUCCCCGCCCUCGCCGAAAGAAUCCCGGCCAGAUGGACAAGCUGGAAACCACCUCAAGUAUCUUCCAUCAACAGCCGGUCCGGUUCUCUCUUGUCCGGUUCCAAGGAACUCGAAAGGCAUGUAGCACCUCCUGUUGCUUUUCAUUUCCCAUGUUAUGCUUUGUCUCAAAAGGGAAACACCACCUGACCUUUUUUUAAAGGGCCCCUGGUGAUCUCGGGGAAGAGAGGGGCUUCUCUUUGCCAUCAAAACUGGACAGGACGUGAGAUAUUUUGAUGGAGACCCCAUGAGAUAGAUAGAUAGAUAGAUAGAUAGAUAGAUAGAUAGAUAGAUAGAUAGAUAGAUGUGCCUACGCACACAUGCAGAAUGUAGCCCCUUUUUUGUGCCUCGUUAUAAAUUGGAAGCUCAGAACCUGAUGAUAGAUGUUUGCCCAUCCUUUGCAGCAGAUUUGUUUAGCUGUUCACUUCUUUGUUUUCCUUUAUUUUGCAUUUCUAUCCUUCCUUUUGUGCAAAGAAUUCCAGGUCAGUCACAGAGCCUCCCUAGGUAAGGGGUGGGGUGGGGGGGUUGAACUCCUUUCGUCUCCCAGGCCAGAGUCCCAACCUAUUACAUUGUGAUUCGCUUAAGUUGCAACCAGUGGAGGGGAGAACUCGGUCUCCCGACAGAGGCCUCAUCCACACCUAUAUUUUAAUCCAACUUCAAUCCACCUCAGAGUAAGAGAAUGCACCAGCAAAGUGCCGUCUGCUUUCUUUCUGCCUCAUCAGGCCCCAGGGUGGGUUUUCUAGGCUAGAUGAUGCAAAAGGAAAACUGCUAAGUCCUUUUUUGCUGUUGCGUUUUCUCACUCUGAAAGCAGACCGAAGGUCUAGUAAGUCAGGAUUUGAUGCUGAGAUUGACGCUCNGCUUCUCUGCAAGGUUCGGUGCUGUGUACAGCGCGAGGCGUUGAUCAAGUCCUGCCGGGGGGGGGGGGUUGCAAAGUAGGCAAUAGCGUCGGCUUCUUCACUUCUCCGUCUGCAUGACUGAGAAAUGCGCUCCCGGCCGUCUUCUCGUUUGCCACGUCAACCUGAAGAUCAACAAGUUUCUUCUUUUCUCCUCCGUCGAUCUCAUCAGCUAUGAGGCCACACAGGUGCUGAGUUGUAACCUGCUCCCACUUUCCCCUUUGAGCCAAACUGAAGCCAAGGAGAGAAGACGUCUUUCUCUCCCUGA